rnacentral:rRNA from 1 species
GCUGACGCCUGCCCGGUGGUGGAAGGUUAAGGGGAUCUGUUAGAGCAAUCGAAGCAGUGAACUUAAGCCCCAGUAAACGGCGGCCGUAACUAUAACGGUCCUAAGGUAGCGAAAUUCCUUGUCGGGUAAGUUCCGACCCGAACGAAAGGCGUAACGAUUUGGGCACUGUCUCAACAACAGACUCGGUGAAAUUGUAAUUCCGGUGAAGAUGCCGGAUACCUGCGACAGGACGGAAAGACCCCAUGGAGCUUUACUGUAGCUUGACAUU